rnacentral:lncRNA from 1 species
GCGCGGAAGCCACAGCGCCUGCCAGUGCCGGGAGCCGGGGACCGGGGAGUGAGUAGGCGGGGGAGAUCCGGGAAGCCGAGACCUGGGGGUCUGCGAGCCGCCUCCUCCCGCGCCGAGAGCACCGGGCUAGGAGGCCGGACAGGUCUACGCUCCCUCCCAUGGCCCAGGUGGACUGUGAACCUUCUGGGAGUAGGGCUGUAAUCACUUCAUCCUGGGAUGAGCUCAGCCUGGCAGGAGGCGCUCAAGAUGUGCUACGUGUGGGUAACCCAAGUAAGUAGCCCCCAGUCCCCCAAGACUCAGGAGUCCUGAUCCCCAGCCAGAGGUGCACGGACCCAGCUGACACCAGCCAGCCAGAGCUGAUGUGCACAGCCCCUUCUACCUCUGCACUCCGUGACGCCAGGCCAGGAGCCCCUGUCACGAGGCCCAGGGAGCCCUGGAGUCUGGAGAUAAAUCGUGACAAGACACAAGGCCAUGGAUGGGGCAUCACUGCUGCCCAAGCCACCCUGGGUCCCCAGCCCCGGACCUUCCCAUCUCCACACCAAAGCCCCUGUCCCAGACAAGAGCACGGUCCCCAGCUCUGCAUAACUGAGGAACUGAGAACCCCAGGUGUGGAGCCACACGGACUCGGGCAUGGCUCUGGGCAAGUCACUCUCACUGCCUGGGCUACAGUGUCCUUGUCUGCGGCAUGGGAAUCAGUAAAGAGCAUGACCCUAAAGCCACACUUGUGCUGUUCACCUUCCAG